UGACCGCUGGCGGCGUGCCUAAUACAUGCAAGUCGAGCGAACAGACGAGGAGCUUGCUCCUCUGACGUUAGCGGCGGACGGGUGAGUAACACGUGGAUAACCUACCUAUAAGACUGGGAUAACUUCGGGAAACCGGAGCUAAUACCGGAUAAUAUAUUGAACCGCAUGGUUCAAUAGUGAAAGACGGUUUUGCUGUCACUUAUAGAUGGAUCCGCGCCGCAUUAGCUAGUUGGUAAGGUAACGGCUUACCAAGGCAACGAUGCGUAGCCGACCUGAGAGGGUGAUCGGCCACACUGGAACUGAGACACGGUCCAGACUCCUACGGGAGGCAGCAGUAGGGAAUCUUCCGCAAUGGGCGAAAGCCUGACGGAGCAACGCCGCGUGAGUGAUGAAGGUCUUCGGAUCGUAAAACUCUGUUAUUAGGGAAGAACAAAUGUGUAAGUAACUAUGCACGUCCUGACGGUACCUAAUCAGAAAGCCACGGCUAACUACGUG
rnacentral:rRNA from 1 species